UUAAAUAUGCGGCAAUAGUUUUUCCAAAUACAAACAGCCUAGAAUCUUUUCUCUUCUAUCAAACGGAUUUUACAUUAAAUAGCCUAGCUGGUAAAAUUAUUACUUUUUUUACCCAUUUCUUCCCAAAGCUGCCAUCUCCUCUCUCGCACACUCAAUCUCACAUCUCUCAGCUCACAAGGUCGGCGAUGUUGGUUUUAUUUUUUAGGCUAAUUGAUACACUAUUUUCUUCUUUUUACUUUUUAAAAAGCUAUAAUUUUUCUUCAAAGAAAUAGGUUUCUUGUUCAUUUGAUAAAAAUUGGAGAUCUAUGGUCAACAUACAUGACCACAGCACCACCAAAAUUAUUUCAAUCUCCGAUAAUUCUAAUUGAAUGGUGCAUGUGUGGAGAUUAUGGCCUUUCUUCUCAGCUUUUUCAAUGCAAAAUUUUCCAAACACAGCAAUCUUUACCCAAAAGCUGAAUCGUACCAAAUAUGCAACUGGUGUUUGAGUAACGAUCCAAAAAAAAUCUCAAAAUUCUUCGAAUUUUUCAUCGUCAAAUAAAAACAGCAGUGAAGGUGAUGACAGCAAGAACAACACCCAGAAGAAAAAAAGACCGAGGAUCAUUGAAAACCCUUCAACCACAAAUUUAUCAUAUUAAACUGUUUUAGAGAUGUAUCCGAAAUGUAUCCUAGAUGUAUGUGAUAUGUUUUCGAGAUGUAAUUGAACAAUUUUUAAAAUCUAAUUUUAUGCAAAAUAAAAAUUGUAAAUUUGCUUUUACAUUUUGAAUUUUUAAUAUAUUUCAUAUCGGCUA